rnacentral:rRNA from 1 species
GAUGAACGCUGGCGGCGUGCCUAAUACAUGCAAGUCGAGCGAAGCGGGGACGGGUUAGUAACACGUGGAUAACCUCCUAUAAGACUGGGAUAACUUCGGGAAACCGGAGCUAAACCGGAUACUUAUAAUUGGAUCCGCGCUGCAUUAGCUAGUUGGUAAGGUAACGGCUUACCAAGGCUACGAUGCAUAGCCGACCUGAGAGGGUGAACGGCCCGAAUGGAAAUGAGAAACGGUCCAGACGCCUACGGGAGGCAGCAGUAGGGAAUCGUGCGCAAUGGGCGAAAGCCUGACGGAGCAACGCCGCGUGAGUGAUGAAGGUCUGCGGAGCGUAAAACGCUGUUAUUAGGGAAGCGGUACCUGAUCAGAAAGCCACGGCUAACUACGUGCCAGCAGCCGCGGUAAUAC